rnacentral:lncRNA from 1 species
CUUUGUACCUCCCACUUCUAAAUUCUAUGUGAACUAAACUUUUCCUGAAUUCAGUUCCGUUGCUUUGAGGAAUUAUCCCACAAUGGUCCACUGGUGUGAAGAUCCAACCGUCACUGGUGUGAAGAUUAAAUGCUGUCUUCUUAUCUCCUUGGUACAAAGUGUCUUCCUUGUGGUCCGAUUUGGUUUGGCUUGGCUUCGGAAGUUUCCCACAACAGUAUCAAGGAAGGCUCCCAUUUGGGUAAUAUGUGGACUGUGAUAAAGGACACAUCUUCAAGAAGAAAAUGGAAGUAUGUGGAGGAAGGACCAGGACAGAGAAGACAACCACCUACUAGACCAUGGAGGAGAUCAGAUUUCUUCUCAUCAUCUGUAAACUGCCCAUGUGACUCCAUUCACAUUUAGAUCUGUAUACCUAGAACCUCAAAUCUACUUUUCUGUAAAUUCUUAAAGGUCAGUUCAUCUAUGCUGUAACUCUUUAUCCUGUAUGUAAGGUUUUCUAUCACCCAUGAUGUAUUAGACAUUUUCCAUUAUUGUAAUAAAAAAUCUGACAUGAUCAACUUACAA